UGCGUAGGCGGUUCGCUAAGUUGGAUGUGAAAACUCUGGGCUCAACCCAGAGCCUGCAUCCAAGACUGGCAGACUAGAGUUCUGGAGGGGGUAGCGGAAUUCCUGGUGUAGCGGUGAAAUGCGUAGAUAUCAGGAGGAACACCGGUGGCGAAGGCGGCUACCUGGACAGAGUCUGACGCUGAGGCACGAAAGCUAGGGGAGCAAACAGGAUUAGGUACCCUGGUAGUCCUAGCCCUAAACGAUGGAUACUUGGUGUAACUGGGAUUGAAUCCAGUUGUGCCGAAGCUAACGCAUUAAGUACUCCCGCCGUGGGGAGUACGGUCGCAAGGCUAGAA
rnacentral:rRNA from 1 species